ensembl:misc_RNA Metazoa_SRP Metazoan signal recognition particle RNA
GCUGGGCACGGUGGCAUGUGCCUGUAGUCCCAAUUACUCAAGAGGCUGAAGCAAGAGGAUCGCUUGAGCCCAGGAGUUCUGGGUUGUAUGCUGAUUGGAUGCCCACACUAAGUUCAUCACUAUGAUGACUUCCCAGGAACGAGGGACCACCAAGUUGCCUAAGGAGGGGUGAACUGGUCCAGGUCAGAAAUGGAGCAGGUCAAAACUCCUCUGCUGUUCAGUAGUGGAAAGGCACCUGUGAAUAGCCACUGCACUCCAGCCUGGGCCACAUAAUGAGACCCUGUCUCUU